rnacentral:rRNA from 1 species
GUGCCUACGGGGGGCAGCAGUGAGGAAUAUUGGUCAAUGGGCGGUAGCCUGAACCAGCCAAGUAGCGUGAAGGAUGAAGGUUCUAUGGAUUGUAAACUUCUUUUAUAAAGGAAUAAAGUGAGGCACGUGUGCCUUUUUGUAUGUACCUUAUGAAUAAGGAUCGGCUAACUACGUGCCAGCAGCCGCGGUCAUACGUAGGAUCCGAGCAUUAUCCGGAGUGACUGGGUGUAAAGAGUUGCGUAGGUGGCAUAGUAAGUAGCUAGUGAAAUCUGGUGGCUCAACCAUUCAGACUAUUAGCUAAACUG